rnacentral:rRNA from 1 species
ACACGACUACAUUAGAUACCCGGGUAGUCCUAGCCGUAAACGAUACUCGCUAGGUGUCGGCCACGGUGCGACCGUUGUCGGUGCUGUAGGGAAGCCGUGAAGCGAGCCACCUGGGAAGUACGGCCGCAAGGCUGAAACUUAAAGGAAUUGGCGGGGGAGCACAACAACGGGUGGAGCUUGCGGUUUAAUUGGAUUCAACGCCGGAAAUCUUACCGGGACCGACAGCAACAUGAAGGCCAAGCUGAAGACUUUGCCGGAUUAGCUG